GGAAUUGCGGGGAAUCCUCCGGGCUCGUCCCUCGCUCCCCCCCCGGCGCCGCCCCCUCAUUAAUUAUUCGCGGCUCGUUGCUCUUUUAUGGCCCCGAAUUUGGGCCGCGCGGCCCCGAUUCCCCAAAUUUAUGCCGAUUUAUGCAGAUUUAUGCAGAUUUAACCCCCCCCCCCGGAGCCUUUUUCCCUCUUUUCCACCCCCUCGGCCCCGCUCAGAGUUUGGGAAUCGCCGCCGCCGCCGCCGGAGGAUUUUCGGGAUUGGAUAAAAAAAAAAAAAAAAGCAGGAAAAAGGAAAAAAUCUCCAAAACUUCACUUUUUGGGCUCCGUUUCGUGGAAAAAAUCCCCAAAACUUUACCUUUUCGCCGGUUUUCACAGG